CUCAGGGAGGUAGUGACAAGAAAUAACAACACUGGAAAUUUUAUUUCUAGUGAUUGGAAUGAUGGGAAUUUAAACCCCUUUCAGAGUAACAAUUGGAGGGCAAGUCUGGUGCCAGCAGCCGCGGUAAUUCCAGCUCCAAUAGCGUAUAUUAAAGUUGUUGCAGUUAAAAAGCUCGUAGUUGGAUGUCUGCUGGAAGCAAUCAGUCUGCCCUAUUUGUAGGGUGUGCACUUGAUGAAUUCUGGCAUUUUUGUCCCAAUGAUGUAACGGGGCGGUGGUACUCGGUGAAAGCCGAGUAUCCUGUUUUCCGAUUAUUGGGAUACUGUUACUUUGAGAAAAUUAGAGUGUUUGAAGCAGGCUAAUUGCCUUGAAUACUGCAGCAUGGAAUAACAAUAUAGGAUUUCGGUCCUAUUUUGUUGGUUUCUAGGACUGAAAUAAUGAUUAAUAGGGACAGUUGGGGGCAUUCGUAUUUAACUGUCAGAGGUGAAAUUCUUAGAUUUGUUAAAGACGAACUACUGCGAAAGCAUUUGCCAAAGAUGUUUUCAUUAAUCAAGAACGAAAGUUAGGGGCUCGAAGACGAUCAGAUACCGUCGUAGUCUUAACCAUAAACUAUGCCGACUAGAGAUAGGAAAAUGUCAUUUUGCUGACUU
rnacentral:rRNA from 1 species